GGACUACCAGGGUAUCUAAUCCUGUUUGCUCCCCACGCUUUCGCGCCUCAGCGUCAGUGUCGGUCCAGUGAGCCGCCUUCGCCACUGGUGUUCUUCCCAAUAUCUACGAAUUUCACCUCUACACUGGGAAUUCCACUCACCUCUCCCGAACUCAAGCCAAACAGUAUCAAAUGCUAUUCCUAGGUUGAGCCCAGGGCUUUCACAUCUAACUUGAAUGGCCGCCUACGCGCCCUUUACGCCCAGUAAUUCCGAACAACGCUAGCCCCCUUCGUAUUACCGCGGCGGCUGGCAC
rnacentral:rRNA from 1 species